rnacentral:ncRNA from 1 species
GGCCUAUCUGCGGGUCUAAAACGCAGGGCGGCGGGAGCUGGCAACCUCCUAAAACGCCUA